UUUUCUGGAAACAGAGAAGUGCUUUAGCAAUAAAGAACCCGGUGACAGGUGCUGCAUGGCUGUCGUCAGCUCGUGUCGUGAGAUGUUGGGUUAAGUCCCGCAACGAGCGCAACCCUCGCCUUUAGUUGCCAGCAUUCAGUUGGGCACUCUAGAGGGACUGCCGAUGUCAAACCGGAGGAAGGUGGGGAUGACGUCAAGUCCUCAUGGCCUUUAUGUCUAGGGCUACACACGUACUACAAUGGCCGGUACAAAGGGCAGCCACUCAGCGAUGAGGCGCUAAUCCCAUAAAGCCGGUCUCAGUCCGGAUCGCAGUCUGCAACUCGACUGCGUGAAGUUGGAAUCGCUAGUAAUCGUAGAUCAGCAUGCUACGGUGAAUUACGGUUCCCGGCCUU
rnacentral:rRNA from 1 species